rnacentral:rRNA from 1 species
UACGUAGGGCGCGAGCGUUGUCCGGAUUUACUGGGCGUAAAGAGCUCGUAGGCGGCUUUUCGCGUCGACUGUGAAAACCCGUGGCUCAACCAUGUGGUCUGCAGUCGAUACGGGCAGGCUAGAAUUCGGUAGGGGAGACUGGAAUUCCUGGUGUAGCGGUGAAAUGCGCAGAUAUCAGGAGGAACACCGGUGGCGAAGGCGGGUCUCUGGGCCGAUAUUGACGCUGAGGAGCGAAAGCGUGGGGAGCGAACAGG